UAGAAAUUCCUACAUUUCCACUGAAAAAUUGAAAAACAAAUUUCAGAAACAGUGGAGAAAACUCUAAUUUUUCUCGCUUGAAAGCUGAAAAUAGUUUUUUAUUCUAAACAUGUGGUAAUUUUGUGGGAA
ensembl:snoRNA Y71G10AR.5 ncRNA